UCCGGUUGAUCCUGCCGGACCCGACUGCUAUUUGGGUGAGGAUAAGCCAUGCGAGUCGAAUGGGAUACCUAAAUUUCCCAUGGCGAACUGCUCAAUAACACAUGAUCAACUUACCCUAUAGAGAAAAAUAACCUCGGGAAACUGAGGAUAAUGUUUCAUAAUUGAAAAGGCUUGGAAAAGUUUUUCGACCAAAGGGAUAAGAAAAAUGGUUUUUAUCCGCUAUAGGAUAGGAUCGUGGUCGAUUAUGGUCGUUGGUGAGGUAAUGGCUCACCAAGCCGAUAAUCGAUAGGGGCCGUGAGAGCGGGAGCCCCGAGAUGGGUACUGAGACAGCGACCCAGGCCUUACGAGGCGCAGCAGGCGCGGAACCUCCGCAAUACACGAAAGUGUGACGGGGUUACCCAAAGUGUUCAAUUUUGAACUGUGGUAGGUGAGUAAUGUCCCCUACUAGAAAGGAGAGGGCAAGGCUGGUGCCAGCCGCCGCGGUAAAACCAGCUCUUCAAGUGGUCGGGAUAAUUAUUGGGCUUAAAGUGUCCGUAGCCGGUUUAGUAAGUUCCUGGUAAAAUCGGGUAGCUUAACUAUCUGCAUGCUAGGAAUACUGCUAUACUAGAGGGCGGGAGAGGUCUGAGGUACUACAGGGGUAGGGGUGAAAUCUUAUAAUCCUUGUAGGACCACCAGUGGCGAAGGCGUCAGACUGGAACGUGCCUGACGGUGAGGGACGAAAGCCAGGGGAGCGAACCGGAUUAGAUACCCGUGUAGUCC
rnacentral:rRNA from 1 species